rnacentral:misc_RNA from 1 species
GUUUGCUUGGUUUUCUUCAAUUUUGAUUGGUUUUGUUGAAAAGUUCAGAAAUUUGAUGUAAUUGUACGGAUUUCUUUGAAUUUUGGAAGUUGAAUGUAUGGUAAAGUUUCGUUUUUUUGGUUUAAUUUAAUGAAUGUUGGAGAUUGGGUGAACCUGUUGAGAAGCUAUUAAAGGGAAGAAAUGAAGAGAGGAAAGGGUGAAGAGAAGUUGAUGGGACCUAUGUUUCCAAGGCUUCAUGUUAAUGAUACAGAAAAAGGAGGUCCAAGAGCACCUCCA